GGAAGGAGGCCUCUACCGAGAGUAAACAUAAUAGGCACCAGAUGAAAACAGUCACCUAGCCAAUGAGAUCCUUGGAGGGCCUCUGGUGUGAGUCCAGUUCAAAGUGACUGCUGGCUGACCAGUAAUUAGCUUGGUUGAAAUCUGCACAACAGACCUGGGGAACUACAAAGGCCAACUUUGGGGAAUGCGCUUGUGCUCUUUAAAGGACCUUGGUGAGAGGCACUGCCCAGCUCUCUCCUGUGAUCUUGCACAGUGGAGCUGAAAAGUGGAUUAAGUCAGGGAACCAUCAGCUCCGUGUGUGCUCGCACACAACACAUUUCUGCACAGCUUUGUGUGCUUAUUCCUUCUCUGUACGAAAAGGCCCGCUGACCUCCGUGACCUCCCCUACCUCAGACUCAGAAGACACCGGUACACUACAUUUUGACUUUAAAUGCAAAGGAGAGCUUUGGAAAGACCAGGAAUUAGCUACUUAUGGACUGAGAGACCCAAAGAGACCUGAAGAAGGAAGGAUACGCCUGAAGGAGCUUCCUGAUGUCACUGGGACCCUGGGCUCCUGUUUGGAUGCACAGAUGUGACCAGACUACUGUGCUCACGAACUCCCAACUGCUGCAGCUGGUUGAAUAAGACCUGAAUAAGAUCAAGCCAGAUGACAUUCCAGCAUGAAGGGGAAAUAUAUGAGCCUCACUGCCAGCUGAGGAGCUAUGGGACAUUGGUUAAAAUCCUCUGCCCUUUUCAUAUCUCAGAUUACUUCUGCCUUGGCCAGUGGCUGCGUCUUCAGAACCUGCCACAAACUCAGCAAAUGUCUUAAUGAAUUAAUGAUUAACAAUCAUGCCGACAUCCUUCACCAUCCCAGGAAUGGACCUGACUAGGGCUUUGAGGGAAAGAAGAAAAGACAGAGAUUCUCAGAAAACCUGGAUCAGGUGGGCUGGGCUCUCUGAGGGAGAAACUGCAGCACCUUUGUGUGGAUAAUGUUGAACACUGUGUAAAGAUUAUCCUUGUAUCAUUCAAAUGUUGGUUUCUGUGCCCCCGUAUCUGGAGAAUCUCCUGUCUUAAUGUUGUGUAAACAUUGCUCCCCAAUUACUCCAUGAUUGAUCAAUAAAGACGCUGAUUAGCCAAUGAUUGAGCAGGGCAGAGGAUAGAGCCAGACUUCCUCUCAGCCAAGGGAGGCCAAGGAGAGAGCAAAAGUGGGGAUUCAUGAUGGGGAGAGUCCAGGAGACACCAUGAGAAAAUACUGGAACCCAGAAAGCCAGAUCAAUACUAAAAUGUAAGUAUAAUGGGGAUUUUGACUGGGAGGAUCAAAAUAGAGUAAUACUGCUCAGUUGUUGUGUCCUUAAAGCUUGUUAAAUAAAUACAAUAGUCCAAUCCCAAUUAUUUGUGAGCCAGCUGGGUUAAGAAGAAAACUGCAAAACAAACUUACCAAAAAAUGCCACUCACACACCUCAGAAGCACAGAGUGUUUACUAUAUAUAGUAGAAUACGAGGGUAGAGUUAUUACACACAGUUGAACACAGAGACAGGGCUAUGACAUACAGAUAAACAAGGAGGCAGGGUUUAUGGAUACAGGCAGAUCAAGGGGACACGCUUAGCUAAUCUUGGUGAGAAGCAAAGUUAUAACCAUCCAGGGAGUGAAGCUACAGUGGACAUUUUCUGUAACACUAUCAACACCUGGUGUUGAUAACCUAAGACUGCUUGGGGUGGCACCGCCCACAGCGGGUUGGGCCCUCCCACAUUAAUCAUUAGUCAAGAAACACCCUACAGGUGACCUGAUGUAGGCAUUUCCUCCACUGAGGUUUCUCUGGGUCAGCUUGACAAAGAUCUAGCCAGGGCCACAUGCAUUCUCAUCUAUCUCUUGUGUACCCUCCAAUGUUCUUUAAACCAACUUUAGACUACUCGUAAUACAGAAUGCGCUGGGGAUUUAGCU
rnacentral:sRNA from 1 species